rnacentral:rRNA from 1 species
UGCCAGCCGCCGCGGUAAUACGUAGGGUGCCAGCGUUGUUCGGAAUUAUUGGGCGUAAAGCGCAUGUAGGCGGUUCGUUAAGUCUGAUGUGAAAGCCCACGGCCCAACCGUGGAAUUGCCUUUGAUACUGCCGUUCUUGAGUCUCGGAGAGGUCGCUGGAAUUCGUGGUGUAGCGGUGAAAUGCGUAGAUAUCACGAGGAACACCAGAGGCGCAGGCGGGCGACUGGACGAGUACUGACGCUGAGGCACGCAAGCGUGGUGAGCAAACAGGAUUAGAUA